UCAGGACGAACGCUGGCGGCGUGCUUAACACAUGCAAGUCGAACGAUGAUCUGGCAGCUUGCUGCUGGGGAUUAGUGGCGAACGGGUGAGUAACACGUGAGUAACCUGCCCUGGACUCUGGGAUAACCCCGAGAAAUCGGAGCUAAUACCGGAUAGGACCUUGCACCGCAUGGUGUGGGGUGGAAAGUUUUUUCGGUCUGGGAUGGACUCGCGGCCUAUCAGCUUGUUGGUGAGGUAAUGGCUCACCAAGGCGUCGACGGGUAGCCGGCCUGAGAGGGUGACCGGCCACACUGGGACUGAGACACGGCCCAGACUCCUACGGGAGGCAGCAGUGGGGAAUAUUGCACAAUGGGCGCAAGCCUGAUGCAGCAACGCCGCGUGCGGGAUGACGGCCUUCGGGUUGUAAACCGCUUUUAGUAAGGAAGAAGGGGAGCUUGCUCCUUGACGGUACUUGCAGAAAAAGGACCGGCUAACUACGUGCCAGCAGCCGCGGUAAUACGUAGGGUCCGAGCGUUGUCCGGAAUUAUUGGGCGUAAAGAGCUCGUAGGCGGUUUGUCGCGUCUGCUGUGAAAUCCCGAGGCUCAACCUCGGGUCUGCAGUGGGUACGGGCAGACUGGAGUGCGGUAGGGGAGAAUGGAAUUCCUGGUGUAGCGGUGGAAUGCGCAGAUAUCAGGAGGAACACCGAUGGCGAAGGCAGUUCUCUGGGCCGUAACUGAC
rnacentral:rRNA from 1 species